rnacentral:misc_RNA from 1 species
AUCAAAUCGAUACACUAAAAAGCAAUCAGACAAAUAACUGUAUCUUCAAGUAGUAUUCUAAAAAAUUCAGGAUUUAUAUAAUUUACACGUACGAAUAUAAAUCACGUUGUUUAUGGCCGAGGAAACGUACAUGUAAUUCGAUUCCACGUAACAAAAAUAGCCAGUCUUGUAUUUACCCUAAUACAGGCGUUGUUGGGACUCGCGAUUCAUUACAAUUAACGAAAACCGUGGUAUGCCAAUACGAUGAUGGACUCAAUUAGAAAAUGGCGUGGUUGGGGGUGGUUGUGUACAUCGAAUGCGCUCUUCCUUCUUCGUCUGUGGUUCAUCGACGAACGCGCGCAGGCAUCGCUGGUAGAUAUUUAAUUAAAGUUGUUUGCGCGACCAAGUUUGGAAACUUUGGGAAUAAGUUACCGGCGGGAAUCAGCGAAGGGGCCAUUUAAUUGUCCUCGCGUUUAAUGCGCCGAAUGGCCCGGGAGUUAUACUCGUCAUCAUGUCACCGGAAGUCACCGGAUGGGUGGGCUGAGUAGUAAACGCGUCAACGGGCAAGAAAAGAACCACACGAGCGUGUUGCGAUUUUCGUGAAAAGUAUCUCGUCCUUAACCCAUUUGCACCGGUUUCUUUUAUAUCGUUGCGUUGGCAAGGUGCUACACGCGAAACGUUAAUUUACUCUGUCGCAUACACAUAUAUACAUGUAUAUAUGUAAAUAUAUAGAUAUACUUUUAUCGCAAUUACACAGAGAAAAAUUUUGUACGUCACGCUUUUCAUGUUCCUCGAAGUUGACGGUGACAUCACAAUGCGACCCUCUUGCGUUUUAUUUUUAAUUUGCGCCGAUAUCGAAGCCAAAUCCGUGCGUCCGUCGCCGUUGUUUUAUGCCGCUCGUAAUUAUACGAAGACA